CAGCCGCCGCGGUAAUACCGGCGGCCCGAGUGGCGGUCACUAUUAUUGGGCUUAAAGCGUCCGUAGCCGGGUUGGGAAGUCCUCCGGGGAAUCUGGCCGCUUAACGGUCAGAAUGCCGGAGGAUACUCCCAGCCUAGGGAGCGGGAGAGGCCGAGGGGAUUCCCGGAGGAGGGGGGAAAUCCUAUAAUCCCGGGAGGACCACCUGUGGCGAAGGCGCUCGGCUGGAACGCGUCCGACGGUGAGGGACGAAGGCCAGGGGAGCAAACCGGAUUAGAUACCCGGGUAGUCCUGGCUGUAAACGAUGCGGACUUUGUGUCGGACAAGCUAUGAGCUUGUCCGGUGCCGGAGGGAAACCGUUAAGUCCGCCGCCUGGGGAGUACGGCCGCAAGGCUGAAACUUAAAGGAAUUGGCGGG
rnacentral:rRNA from 1 species